rnacentral:tRNA from 1 species
GAUCCCGUAGCUCAGCAGGGAGAGCGNNUUGACAGGGUGGAGGUCGUGAGUUCGAACCUCUCCGGGAUCA